GAUGAACGCUGGCGGCGUGCCUAAUACAUGCAAGACGAGCGAAGCGGGGACGGGGGAGUAACACGUGGAUAAACUCCUAUAAGACUGGGAUAACUUCGGGAAACCGGUGCUAAACCGGAUACCUAUAGAUGGAUCCGCGCUGUAUUAGCUAGUUGGUAAGGUAACGGGUUACAAAGGAAACGAUGCAUAGCCGACCUGAGAGGGUGAUCGGCCAAUCUGGAACGGAGACACGGUCCAGACUCCUACGGGAGGCAGCAGAAGGGAAGCUUACGCAAUGUGCGAAAGCCAGACGGAGCAACGCCGCGUGAGUGAUGAAGGUCAUCGGCACGUAAAACUCUAUUAUUAGGGAAGCGUUACCUGAUCAGGAAGCAACGGCUAACUCCGUGGCAGCAGCCGCAGUAAUAC
rnacentral:rRNA from 1 species